CUUUUAUACUGGUAUUUAAGGUGAUUAGGUGAAUGAGAAAGAGCAGCCGAGAGGACUGGGCAAAAAUGUAGUGUUUGUGUGACCAAGGAGGAGAGCUCUCGGCAAAGCUGGUGCUGGUGUCUUCCUUGGCGUGUGUGUAUGUGUGGAGUUUUCUCAUCAUGUGUGUGUUCUUGAGAGAAAUUACAAGUGAGAGUUGUGUGAGAAAGAAGACGAAGCGGUGCUGCGAGGAGGCCGCGCCAACAUUGUUUGCUCCAGCAAAUUUGAUCUUAAGUCUUCACUUUCUUUUCUAUGGUUGUACAGAAUUACCUGAUGAUGGAGGGUGGAGCUGUCCUUUGGAGAAUUGUUUAAAGAACUAAGAAGUAAUAACACCAUGUCUUGUUCAAGUGCCAAAUCAGCAUUACAAUGCGCUGAUGUAUGGCAUCCGUCCAUGUUGAUUAUUGGAGCCUUUGAUAAUUAGGAGAUGCAUGCAUCACCUAUGAUAAUUAAUACAUGUCUGCACAAAAUUUGUCCA